AUUAUUUAUUAUUUAUAUGUUGAGAUGAGAUGAAUCGUUUACUCACGUGAUUCAGAUUGGCGAUUCAAAUUGUGGUUGCUAUAGCAACGCGUGUUAUGAUUUGACUCCAUAUAUAAACACCGAGACUCGCCGCUAUCUGUUGAUUGAGGAGAGGCGAAUUUCUGAAACAUUUGCUGAGGAUUACUGUGCUGAUACUGCGAUUCUUCAAGGAGACCAGAGAAUUUCUGACAGAAGACUUUUAUUUUACAAGGAGAUCGACGCUCAGAGCUGAAAUUAUUCCUUUUGACACGUUUUGUUGCUCUUUUGUUGUGUUUAUUUUGAUUUUGAUCUUGUUUUUAUUGACAUUUUUAUUGAUAUUUGAUCUUUGUUCUUGUUUUCAGGUUUGCUGGAGUUUGGAGGAGUUUGUCAGAUGGGUGAAAACCGCAGCCGCUCCAGAUCCAGGAGUUCUGCUUUCAUCCAGGCAGCUGUUCAGGACGUCAGGACACAUGAUGGUGAUGGUGAAACCCAGACCGUGAGCCAAAAACUUGAUGGAUUUCUCGCACCUCUGCCUUCCCUGUUGGCCAAAUCUGUGUCCACAGAUCAGGGUAACAGGAAGAGGAAGCGGCAGAGCGGCAGCCAGCAAACACCAGAAGAUGAACGUCCGUCCACCUCAUCUAGAAGAGCUCUCAAACGCUCUCGCAGAGACGCGUAUGCAAAGGGCCCACUGCUGGGAGACGGUGGAUUUGGCUCUGUGUUUGCUGGGAUGCGCAGGUCUGAUGGACUGCCAGUCGCCAUCAAGUAUGUGUCUAAAGAGCGGACACAGAGGAGACUGAGAGUUGAAGGUCAGGGUCGGCUGCCGCUGGAGGUGGCACUGAUGACCCGCGUCAAUUCAGCUCCUGCCUGCCCCAACGUCCUGCAGCUGCUAGACUGGUUUGACCGUCCCAGACGCUACAUCCUGAUCCUGGAGCGUCCGGAUCCCUGCCAAGACCUCCAGAGCUUCUGUGAGGAGAACGGCUGUCUGGAUGAGGGUCUGGCCAAGAAAGUGCUGGUGCAGCUGAUCGCGGCUCUGAAACACUGCGAGAGCCGCGGAGUCCUGCACCGGGACGUCAAGCCAGAGAACCUGCUGAUCUCCACAGAGUCCCAGGACAUCAAGCUGCUGGACUUCGGCUGUGGAGAUCUGCUCAAGCGCUCGGCCUACAAAUACUUCGCAGGAACGAUUCAAUACGCUCCACCUGAGUGGUUCUGCAGACAGCGCUACCAUGCGGGUCCAGCUACGGUGUGGUCAGUAGGAGUGACCCUCUUCAACAUCCUGUGCAACCGUUUCCCCUUCGGAGGCUCACUGAGGGUCACGUCCAGGAGCAAACUGACCUUCCCCAUAACUCUGUCAACAGAGGCAGUAGACGCAGAUGGAGAAGAGGAGAACACACACCGAACACACACUGAACAGCAGAUUCCAGCAGAAAACACACUCUGAUGCAGGUUUGCUGGAGUUUGGAGGAGUUUGUCAGAUGGGUGAAAACCGCAGCCGCUCCAGAUCCAGGAGUUCUGCUUUCAUCCAGGCAGCUGUUCAGGACGUCAGGACACAUGAUGGUGAUGGUGAAACCCAGACCGUGAGCCAAGAGCUUGAUGGAUUUCUCGCACCUCUGCCUUCCCUGUUGGCCAAAUCUGUGUCCACAGAUCAGGGUAACAGGAAGAGGAAGCGGCAGAGCGGCAGCCAGCAAACACCAGAAGAUGAACGUCCGUCCACCUCAUCUAGAAGAGCUCUCAAACGCUCUCGCAGAGACGCGUAUGCAAAGGGCCCACUGCUGGGAGACGGUGGAUUUGGCUCUGUGUUUGCUGGGAUGCGCAGGUCUGAUGGACUGCCAGUCGCCAUCAAGUAUGUGUCUAAAGAGCGGACACAGAGGAGACUGAGAGUUGAAGGUCAGGGUCGGCUGCCGCUGGAGGUGGCACUGAUGACCCGCGUCAAUUCAGCUCCUGCCUGCCCCAACGUCCUGCAGCUGCUAGACUGGUUUGACCGUCCCAGACGCUACAUCCUGAUCCUGGAGCGUCCGGAUCC